CCGCUGCUGUUUGUAAUGGCGGCUGUUUCUCAGACAAACAUCGGUUAUGUUGAAGUUAGGAAAAGAAAUCGAAUUUCAGUGUUCGUUGAUGUGAUCCAAAUUUGUUUUGACUUCUCAGGUUUACAAUGAUCAAAUUUAUAUACUUCCAAUAACCGGAAUAACGUAAUUCCUACCGCAGUCGCCACAACAACCAACAGUUUGGACAUCGACUUUCAAUCAGCUGCCAGCAAUAAAUCUAACAGCGCCAUAUAUAAUUGGCAGUUGACUUUUUCUGUGACGAGCCAAGGGAGUUCUUGUUCCGUUUCUGAUUCAGCAGGAACCAACCACAUACCAGAUCUGCUGGAUGAAAGUCAAAUUAUGCCUUACUAUAUUCAUCACCCAUGUGAUAAAGCGUCAGGAAAUUUAUCUCAACUUGAGGAAUAAUGCUGUUGGUUGCUGUGAAUGCCAUUUUUACUGCUUUUUCAUCAUGAACAUUUCAGUGCGCUUCUUAGAAAAGAGCUCGCAAGAUCCCCAUCUAUGAGAAGAGUGACUUCCACCAAUGUCUUCUCCAUCCUUAUCUUCGCGAGGUCCGCUCAUCUAGCUUCACUGCUUUGUAUGAACUGCUACACAACUUGUCUUUCUUCAUUGAUGAGUUGGAUCACUUCAGUGUUCGCUUUCGCCCGCUGUGACACACCUGUAAUCAUUCACCACGGGAUUAUGCC